rnacentral:rRNA from 1 species
AUUGAACGCUGGCGGCAGGCCUAACACAUGCAAGUCGAGCGGAUGAGAAGAGCUUGCUCUUCGAUUCAGCGGCGGACGGGUGAGUAAUGCCUAGGAAUCUGCCUGGUAGUGGGGGACAACGUUUCGAAAGGAACGCUAAUACCGCAUACGUCCUACGGGAGAAAGCAGGGGACCUUCGGGCCUUGCGCUAUCAGAUGAGCCUAGGUCGGAUUAGCUAGUUGGUGAGGUAAUGGCUCACCAAGGCGACGAUCCGUAACUGGUCUGAGAGGAUGAUCAGUCACACUGGAACUGAGACACGGUCCAGACUCCUACGGGAGGCAGCAGUGGGAAAUAUUGGACAAUGGGCGAAAGCCUGAUCCAGCCAUGCCGCGUGUGUGAAGAAGGUCUUCGGAUUGUAAAGCACUUUAAGUUGGGAGGAAGGGCAGUAAGUUAAUACCUUGCUGUUUUGACGUUACCGACAGAAUAAGCACCGGCUAACUUCGUGCCAGCCGCCGCCGUAACAC